UAUUAUGUUGGGAUAUUUGUUUUGUGAAGCAUUUGGUGUUAGUAGUCUAGCAGAAGGUAUUUUGCUUUGACAUCCUUUUUCCUGUAUGCCUUUCCCUAUAAGUAAGCCUGCCUGUACUGCACUAUUGAGUUGGAGGUCCUAAUUUCAAUCUCAUUCACAAAGUCUUCCUUGCCUUUUACAGCAUAUUCUCGUUAUUCUGAAUGCAUAAUCUGCUUUAUUUAUUUAUUUAUUCUUAAAUAAGUUUUAGUUGUCAGUGGAUCUUUUGUUUAUUUAUAUGUGGUGCUGAGGAUCAAACCCAGGGCCUCACACAUGCCCAGCAAGUGCUCUACCACUGAGCCACAACUCCAGCCCUAAUCUCUGCUUUAUACACUUGACCUUAUUUAAUCUCAACAUUGCCUUAUGUAGUUGAGGUCUCCAAUUUAUAGAAGAAGGAACCAAGGCUUAGAUUAAGCAACUUAUCAGAUCAUAUAUCUAUUAUGGAACCAGAGUUUGAACCCAGAUUUAUUUCAUUUCAAAGCACAAUAUUAUAUUGCCCUUUUGUGGUCAGCCAUAGCACACUGGUGUUUAUGCCUAACCUCUGCAAAAGCACUGAGGGUAUUGUCAUCACACAAUUUAUAUGUGAAAUUACAGGUACAUUGCAGAUUACAGAUGAGGCAAAAUAUGGUAAGUACUAAGGGUUAUAGGUUUUUAAAGGAGGAUGAAUAAUAUUUGGGGUGUAAAGAUU
rnacentral:lncRNA from 1 species